rnacentral:rRNA from 1 species
AUUGAACGCUGGCGGAAUGCUUUACACAUGCAAGUCGAACGGCAGCACGGACUUCGGUCUGGUGGCGAGUGGCGAACGGGUGAGUAAUGUAUCGGAACGUGCCCAGUCGUGGGGGAUAACGUAGUGAAAAUUACGCUAAUACCGCAUACGAUCUAUGGAUGAAAGCGGGGGAUCGCAAGACCUAGCGCGAUUGGAGCGGCCGAUAUCAGAUUAGGUAGUUGGUGGGGUAAAGGCCCACCAAGCCAACGAUCUGUAGCUGGUCUGAGAGGACGACCAGCCAUACUGGAACUGAGACACGGCCCAGACUCCUACGAGAGGCAGCAGGCGAGAAUUUUGGACAAUGGGCGAAAGCGUGAUCCAGCCAUUCCGCGUGCAGGAUGAGGGCCCUCGGGUUGUAAACUGCUUUUGUACAGAACGAAAAGGUUUCUACUAAUACUAGGAGCUCAUGACGGUACUGUAAGAAUAAGCACCGGCUAACUACGUGCCAGCCGCCGCCGUAA